rnacentral:rRNA from 1 species
UGGGGAAUAUUGGACAAUGGGCGCAAGCCUGAUCCAGCCAUGCCGCGUGAGUGAUUAAGGCCCUAGGGUUGUAAAGCUCUUUCACCGGUGAAGAUAAUGACGGUAACCGGAGAAGAAGCCCCGGCUAACUUCGUGCCAGCAGCCGCGGUAAUACGAAGGGGGCUGGCGUUGUUCGGAUUUACUGGGCGUAAAGCGCACGUAGGCGGACUAUUAAGUCAGGGGUGAAAUCCCGGGGCUCAACCCCGGAACUGCCUUUGAUACUGGUAGUCUUGAGUUCGAGAGAGGUGAGUGGAAUUCCGAGUGUAGAGGUGAAAUUCGUAGAUAUUCGGAGGAACACCAGUGGCGAAGGCGGCUCACUGGCUCGAUACUGACGCUGAGGUGCGAAAGCGUGGGGAGCAAACAGG